UACGUAGGGUGCGAGCGUUAAUCGGAAUUACUGGGCGUAAAGCGUGCGCAGGCGGUCCGCAAAGUCUGAUGUGAAAGCCCCGGGCUCAACCUGGGAACUGCAUUGGAAACUAACGGGCUCGAGUGUGGCAGAGGGGGGUGGAAUUCCACGUGUAGCAGUGAAAUGCGUAGAGAUGUGGAGGAACACCGAUGGCGAAGGCGGCCAACUGGGCUUGUUCUGACGCUGAGGUGCGAAAGCGUGGGGAGCGAACAGG
rnacentral:rRNA from 1 species